rnacentral:rRNA from 1 species
UUAUGGAGAGUUUGAUCCUGGCUCAGGAUGAACGCUGGCGGCGUGCCUAAUACAUGCAAGUCGAGCGAACGGACGAGAAGCUUGCUUCUCUGAUGUUAGCGGCGGACGGGUGAGUAACACGUGGUAACCUACCUAUAAGACUGGGAUAACUUCGGGAAACCGGAGCUAAUACCGGAUAAUAUUUUGAACCGCAUGGUUCAAAAGUGAAAGACGGUCUUGCUGUCACUUAUAGAUGGAUCCGCGCUGCAUUAGCUAGUUGGUAAGGUAACGGCUUCCAAGGCAACGAUGCAUAGCCGACCUGAGAGGGUGAUCGGCCACACUGGAACUGAGACACGGUCCAGACUCCUACGGGAGGCAGCAGUAGGGAAUCUUCCGCAAUGGGCGAAAGCCUGACGGAGCAACGCCGCGUGAGUGAUGAAGGUCUUCGGAUCGUAAAACUCUGUUAUUAGGGAGAACAUAUGUGUAAGUAACUGUGCACAUCUUGACGGUACCUAAUCAGAAAGCCACGGCUAACUACGUGCCAGCAGCCGCGGUAAUACGUAGGUGGCAAGCGUUAUCCGGAAUUAUUGGGCGUAAAGCGCGCGUAGGCGGUUUUUUAAGUCUGAUGUGAAAGCCCACGGCUCAACCGUGGAGGGUCAUUGGAAACUGGAAAACUUGAGUGCAGAAGAGGAAAGUGGAAUCCAUGUGUAGCGGUGAAAUGCGCAGAGAUAUGGAGGAACACCAGUGGCGAAGGCGACUUUCUGGUCUGUAACUGACGCUGAUGUGCGAAAGCGUGGGGAUCAAACAGGAUUAGAUACCCUGGUAGUCCACGCCGAAACGAUGAGUGCUAAGUGUUAGGGGGUUUCCGCCCCUUAGUGCUGCAGCUAACGCAUUAAGCACUCCGCCUGGGGAGUACGACCGCAAGGUUGAAACUCAAAGGAAUUGACGGGGACCCGCACAAGCGGUGGAGCAUGUGGUUUAAUUCGAAGCAACGCGAAGAACCUUACCAAAUCUUGACAUCCUUUGACAACUCUAGAGAUAGACCUUCCCCUUCGGGGGACAAAGUGACAGGUGGGCAUGGUUGUCGU